GAUGAACGCUGGCGGCGUGCUUAACACAUGCAAGUCGAACGAUGAAGCCCAGCUUGCUGGGUGUAAUAGUGGCGAACGGGUGAGUAACACGUGAGUACCCUGCCCUUGACUCUGGGAUAAGCCUGGGCGACUGGGUCUAAUACUUGAUAUGACUUCUCAUCUCAUGGUGGAGGGUGGAGAGCUUUAUUGGUCUUGGGUGGACUCGCGGCCUAUCCGCUUGUUGGUGAGGUAAUGGCUCACCACGGCGACGACGGGUAGCCGGCCUUGGAGGGUGACCGGCCACCCUGGGACUGCGAGACGGCCCAGACUCCUACGUGAGGCAGCAGUGGGGAAUAUUGCACAAUGGGCGCAAGCCUGAUGCAGCGACGCCGGGGGUGGAAAGACGGUCUGUUGGUUGUAAACCUCUUUCGGUAGGGAAGAAGCUAUAGUGACGGUACCUGCAGAAGAAGCGCCGGCUAACUACGUG
rnacentral:rRNA from 1 species